rnacentral:rRNA from 1 species
AUACGGAGGGUGCAAGCGUUGUUGGGAAUCACUGGGCGUAAAGGGUGCGUAGGCGGCUGUGUAAGUCGGGUGUGAAAGCCCAGGGCUCAACCCUGGAACUGCGCCCGAAACUACACGGCUUGAGUCCGGAAGAGGGUUGCGGAAUUACCGGUGUAGAGGUGGAAUUCGUAGAUAUCGGUAAGAACAUCUGCGGCGAAGGCGGCAACCUGGUUCGAGACUGACGCUGAGGUACGAAAGCGUGGGGAGCAAACAGGAUUAGAAACCCUUGUAGUCC